UACGAAGGGAGCGAGCGUUGUUCGGAUUUACUGGGCGUAAAGGGCGCGCAGGCGGUUCUGUUUGUCGAGUGUGAAAGCCCCGGGCUCAACCUGGGAACUGCGCUCGAAACGGCGGAACUAGAGUUCGGGAGAGGAGAGUGGAAUUCCCAGUGUAGAGGUGAAAUUCGUAGAUAUUAGGAAGAACACCAGUGGCGAAGGCGGCCAACUGGCCCGAUACUGACGCUCAUGUGCGAAAGCGUGGGGAGCAAACAGG
rnacentral:rRNA from 1 species